rnacentral:rRNA from 1 species
GUGAGGAAUAUUGGUCAAUGGACGGAAGUCUGAACCAGCCAUGCCGCGUGCAGGAAUAAGGUCCUAUGGAUUGUAAACUGCUUUUAUUCGGGAAUAAACCUCUUUACGUGUAGGGAGCUGAAGGUACCGAAGGAAUAAGCACCGGCUAACUCCGUGCCAGCAGCCGCGGUAAUACGGAGGGUGCAAGCGUUAUCCGGAAUCAUUGGGUUUAAAGGGUCCGCAGGUGGGCUAUCAAGUCAGAGGUGAAAUCCCACAGCUUAACUGUGGAACUGCCUUUGAAACUGAUGGUCUUGAAUUAAGUGGGCGUUGGCGGAAUAUGACAUGUAGCGGUGAAAUGCAUAGAUAUGUCAUGGAACACCGAAAGCGAAGGCAGCUAACGAUACUUAUAUUGACGCUCAUGGACGAAAGCGUGGGUAGCGAACAGGAUUAGAAACCCCGGUAGUCC